rnacentral:rRNA from 1 species
UUGACGAGUGCAGUAUAUGUGUGGGGAAAUUCCACGUUUUCCGCGCCGUAACUCACUCAUUAUGUGCCCCGGCGGGGGAGUACGGCCGCAUGGCUAAACCUCAGAGGAAUUGGCGGGGGCCCGCACAAGCGGAGGAUCAGGAGUAUUAAUUCGAUGCACCGCAAACAACCUUACCCCUGGUUGACCUUCACCGGACCGCCACAUACAUGGGGUUUCCCUUCGAGGCUGGUGGACAGGUGGUGCAUGGUUGUCGUCAGCUCGUGUCGUGAGAUGUUGGGUUAAGUCCCGCAACGAGCGCAACCCUCGUUCUAUGUUGCCUACACGUGAUGGUGGGGACUCAACUGAGACUGACGGGGUCAACUCGGAGGAAGGUGGGGAUGACGUCAAAUCAUCAUGCCCCUUAUGUCUUGGGCUUCACGCAUGCUACAAUGGCCGGUACAAAGGGUUGCGAUACUGUGAGGUGGACCUAAUCCCAAAAAGCCGGUCUCAUCUCAGACUGAGGUCUGCAACUCUACCUCUUGAAUUCGGAGUCGCUAGUAAUCGCAGAUCCGCAACGCUGCGGUGAAUACGUUCCCGGGCCUUGUACACACCGCCCGUGAAAUCGGGAUUUUGGUAACACCCGAAGCCGGUGGCCUAGCCCCUUAUGACAGGGAGCCGUCUAAUGAGGGACUGGAGAUCGUCAAAGGUCCCAAAGGGAAAACCAAA